rnacentral:rRNA from 1 species
UACGGGGGGGGCAAGCGUUGUUCGGAAUUACUGGGCGUAAAGGGCUCGUAGGUGGCCAACUAAGUCAGACGUGAAAUCCCUCGGCUUAACCGGGGAACUGCGUCUGAUACUGGAUGGCUUGAGUUUGGGAGAGGGACGCGGAAUUCCAGGUGUAGCGGUGAAAUGCGUAGAUAUCUGGAGGAAUACCGGUGGCGAAGGCGGCAUCCUGGACCGACAUUGACGCUGAAAACCGAAAGCUAGGGGAGCAAACGGG